rnacentral:rRNA from 1 species
CCUACGGGAGGCUGCAGUAGGGAAUUUUCGUCAAUGGGCGCAAGCCUGAACGAGCGAUGCCGCGUGAGUGAAGAAGGCCUUCGGGUCGUAAAGCUCUGUUGCGGGGGAAAAAAGGCAGCAUCAGGAAAUGGGUGCUGACUGAUGGUGCCCCGCCAGAAAGUCACGGCUAACUACGUGCCAGCAGCCGCGGUAAUACGGAGGUGGCGAGCGUUAGCCGGAAUGAUUGGGCGUAAAGGGUGCGCAGGCGGUCCUGCAAGUCUGGAGUGAAACGCAUUAGAUCAACUCAUGCAUGGCUUUGGAAACUGGAGGACUGGAGAGCAGUAGAGGGCGGUGGAACUCCAUGUGUAGCGGUAAAAUGCGUAGAUAUCAGGAGGAACACCGGCGGCGAAGGCGGCCUGCUGGACUGCGACUGACGUUGAGGCUCGAAAGCGUGGGGAGCGAACAGGAUUAGAUACCCCAGUAGUC